rnacentral:piRNA from 1 species
UGCAACUCACUAUGCAGCAUGGGCUA